rfam:Xenopus laevis strain J chromosome 3S, whole genome shotgun sequence.
AAAAAGGCCCUUUUUAGGGCCCUUCUAUUUUAUGCCAAAUAUGUAGU